GCAGCACAACAUUGUUCGUGCAUCUGAUUGUAAAUAGACACUCUUCCCUUGAAAGAAACCAAAGCGAUGGGCUUUUCAAGGAAUCCUCAGUUGGCUUUUUGCCUCGUCGUCCACCUUCUGAGGUGAAAUACAGUGGAACUUCUAAAGUCGAACGUUUGCCAGAGGGAAUAAUGGGAAUAAUCCGUUACAGGUUAAAACUGUUGCCACUGUAAAACCUUCAGUUCGUGUUUUGACUACAAAAGUAUUGGGACACGCUCGGGUCUCACCGCUCGCCGUCCCUUGUCGAUGCUGCCGUGGAUAAUACAGCCACUGAAAGCCAAAGAAAAAGCACAACACGGGCAUAAUGACCUGUGUCACGGCAUCCAGGGGCUCGUUAAAUGUUACUAUAGGGCAGGGGUGUCAAACUCAAGGCCCGGGGGCCAGAUCUGGCCCGACACAUCAUUUUGAAUAGCUCGUGAAAGCUUGGAAAUAAUAUGUAUCAAUAAAAUAGUGAACCUUUCUUUCUUUUUUUAUUUUGACCAGGGAAAAAAAGACAUGUACUGCAUGCAAUUAUAUAUCUUUUAAACUUUAUCUAUCUAAUAAUGCAGCAGACAUUAUAUUAUCAUACAUUCGAAACAUUUUUGGGGUAAAAACAUACAUAAAUAUUUACUUAAGACUUUUGAUUUCAAAGCAAGUUAUCCAUCAAAUUGUACACUGUAAACAUGACAAUACAUUUUUUUUUAAACAGCUCGGCCUUCAGAAUCCUACCGUCACAAAAAAACUGUGGUAUUAUUUUUACAUUUACAGUAACACACUGUAAAAACAGCAACCAUAUUUUUUAUGCAAAAAACUGGCAGCUCAAUCACCAGAAUUUUACAGUAAAAUAGACUGUGACCAUUUUACUGUAAAUUUUAUGGUACAUUAUUUUGACCGUAAAAUCCACAGAUUGUUUUUUCUUACAGUGUAGGUAAAAUAUACAUUUACUAAUCAAAUGCAUAGGUAAUGGUGAGACAAUAUCAUGCGGCUAAUCCUUAUACAUGUAUGUUUCUUUUAUUAAUGUUACAACCGGCCCUCUGAGGGCAGCCAAAACUGCAACGUGGCCCUCAAUGAAAACCAGUUCGACACCCCUGGGGAACUGCACUUUUUAGGGAAUUUUGCCGGUCGUUCACAAUCAUUACGAAAUACAUGAAGACGGGUGGAUAUUUUUUUUUGCAUUCUAAAUAUUAAAUGCAAUGGAGCAUAGGGGAGCCGCUAAGUUCUGCCAAUAGAGCUCCUAAAAAGGAAUCCAGAAACCUCCAUUAAGGUUGGAUAUACCUGAUGUAAAUAUGUAUGUCAUGUAGUAACAGGCACAUUUAAUAUUUACGUAUGUUGAUCAUUUUAAGCAUACGCGGUGCAUUUAUUUUAAAAAAGCGAGAAAACAGCUGAUUAGUCAAUGAUGAAAACAUAAGGACACAGGAAGUGAUCACGGCGCCGCUAUCAAUAGUUUGUCUGCGUUAGCGCUUAUAAUAACAUUAUCACUAACACUUGGUUAAUAUUCAAGUUGUAUUUGAGAUUGUUAAUAGGGUUAAAUGGGUUGUACUUGUAUAGCGCUUUUCUACCUUCAAGGUACUCAAAGCGCUUUGACACUACUUCCACAUUUACCCAUUCACACACACACAUUCACACACUGAUGGAGGGAGCUGCCAUGCAAGGCGCUAACCAGCACCCAUCAGGAGCAAGGGUGAAGUGUCUUGCUCAGGACACAACGGACAUGACGAGGUUGGUACUAGGUGGGGAUUGAACCAGGGACCCUCGGGUCGCGCACGGCCACUCUUCCACUGCGCCACGCCGUUAAGGGUUAUGCGAAAUAAGUGCUCAACUUCAGCCUAAACCCUUUCGGUUUAUAAAAUUGUCUAUUUAUGAAUUCAUGGAUGUAAAACUGUUUGUUUAUUAUGUCGACCACUGACCGAAGAAAUAAUAAACUAAACUACGUCGCUUUUUGAAUAGUUGGUUAUCGGAUUUUACGGGCAAAAUAAUGGAGCUCCCAUUGGCUCUGCUGUAAGUUAACUUUUAUUUACGUUUGUUUAAUAUUUAGAAUGCAUUGGAAGAAAAAAAAUCCAUCCGUCAUUAAUGUCUUUCAUAAGGAUUGUCAACGAUAAACAAAAUUCCCCAAAAAGUGCAGUUCCCCUUUAAAUGUCCUGCAAGUGUAAAGAAUAAGUUUAGCCAUUGUCAAUAUCAAACAGUCCCUUCAGGAUUUCACAGACUUUUUUUGUGAUUCAUAAUGUUGCGGUAAAAGUUGCCAUAUUUUCAGGCUUAUUUUUUCUAAUAACAUUGAAUCAAGUUGUGAUUUUAUGAAUGUGUUAUUCAUGUUUUAGGUGUUCCUUCUAACCUUAACCUCGACAAGAUUUCCACAAAAAUCUUAAAACAAACACUGUAUUGAUGAUUUACCUGUUAUUUAUUCAUUUACCCCCGCACCUUAGCAUUUGUGAACUGUUGAGAGCGAUCGACAGCAGUAUUUUUUGGGGGGGUAAACGAGAGACGAUAAGAAAUUGUCAUCACACACCAACGUCUCUAACAUUUCAACGCUGCCUCUUUGCAAGGUUAGCAUUAAAUGAAAAUGUGUUCUCAUAUAGCUGGAUAAAUAAAGGUUUAAUAAAUAUAUGUAAACUACACGUUUAUAUACUCCAUUACCCAGAAGACUUAGUGUUGCAGACAGGAACAGGGAAUAAAGAUGUGAUAUAUUGUUCCACGUUGUUGUUCAACGUGUGCAAGUUCUGAUUAGACAGUUGACGUCAGCACCGAUCAGAGACAAAUUGGACUGGCGAAAAUUACGCUGAUUGGCCAAAAUCUGCGGUGAAGUUGCGGGCAUUGGACAAAGUUGCGGGGUUGUGCAUAAUUUGAAUUAGCGUAAAUUUGGCAAAUUCCUUAGAGGACACAUUAAUCAUGUUAAUUAAACGUAAAAGAGGGUAAAACUCUCGUUCUGAACUCUUAACACACAGGUGUCUAACUCAAGGCCCGAGGGCAAAAUCUGGCCCGCCACAUUAUUUUUAUGUGGCCUGCGAAAGCCUGGAAAUAAUAUGCGUUAAUACAAUGCUUAAUCUUUUCUUACUAAAUAUAUUUGUUCUUUCCCUUUUGACAUUAAAAAUCAUGUACUGCAUGCCAUUGCAUAUCUUUGAAAAUUCAAUAUAAUCAAAAUUUAAAUAUUAUCGUGUAUUCCAAAAAUGUUUUUUGUUCAAAUAAAGAUAAAUACUGUACUUAAAUAUCUGCUUGACUUAUGAUUUCAAAACAAAUUAUCAAUCAAAUUGUAGACUGUAAAAUUGACAAUAGAUUUUACGGUUAAAUUCCGCGACUAAGUUUUUUAUCCUAAAAUCAACUUUGGUACUGUUUUUUUCCAUAUACAGUAAGACACGUAAACAUUAGAAAACAAACAUAAAAACCGUUUAAACAACAAGAUUUUACGGUAGAAAAAAAAAACUGGCAGCUCUGUUGCUUGAAUUUUACCGCUAAAAACAGUGGUAUAAUUUCUCCAUUCCAUUCCAUUUAUUCCAUUUGUUUAUAUAGUUUUUUUAAAAAAACACUCCUUUCACUGUAAAAUUCUGGUGACUGAGCUGCCAGUUUUUAAAGUAAAAUUUAAUUAUUUUUUUUGCAGCUUAUUUAAAAAAAAAAAUUGUUAGUGUAUUAUAUAUAUACAUGUAUAUUCAUAUAUUACUCAUUGUUAAACGCGGCCCUCUGAGGGCAACCAUAACUGCGAUGAAAUCGAGUUUGACACCCCUGUCUUAACACAAAGGGGAUUUGUGUCGCAGUUAAUUAUUGUAACAUUACUAAUUGUCAUACAAGUGUAAAAAGAAGUCAACCAAUGUCUUGCUGGACAAAAGUAUUAGGACACACGGAGGUUCCACUGCUUUAAAUGUGAGUCUGUCACAUUCUUCCAUACUUGGAAGGUGGCUUAGGUAAAAAAAAAAAGUAAUACAUUUUAAAAAAGCCAGAGAAAAAGCACAACAAGAACUAAAAUUGGGCUGUCAGCUGAGGUUUCGAUCAAUUUUUGCAUUUUUAACCAUUUUACAAGUAUAAAAUAAGUGAACUUCCAGUGCAAAGGUGAUUCUUUAUCAAGUGUAAAAAAAAAAAAGUAUCAGGACAAGUCAGCGUUCUUACUCACUUGUACGUGACUUUGCUUACUUCAGGUUCUUCUUCUCUACUAAAAGAGAAAAAGACCUAGAGAAAGAAUGGCUUAAGGAGGCUUUGGACUGUAGAGGUUCCACUGUGUGUUUUCCCCCACUCCUCCGGCACCCAGGAAGGUGUGUAUGUAUCCAAAAUAGCUGAAUCGGGUCUUUGCUGCUGUAAAAACUUAACAGUCACAAGGUAGUGUGUGAAAACACCCACCUACCUGCUUACAAUAUUACAGCAGGAAGACAGUAUUAAAGCACACACACUCUUUGCACAACGCAAAUGUACUUUACAACACGUUUUCCGACCAGCCAUGGAAACUCGGGUGCAAUGUUGGCCACACAUUCCUGCUAGCGACACCAUAUAGAUGUAUUUUUAUUACAUUAUUAUCUGCAUUUGUUUUCACUCGAGCUGCAAACGUCCUGUUUCUGCCUUACUUCAUAAGCUUACAGUGUUUGCAGCCUGCCUUUUUACAGUAGAUAUAUGUUCAUUUUGAUAUGCAGGUCAUAUACUGUGGAUUUGGUUGUUGUUUUUUUGUAUGUGACAGGCCUCUUGUCAACAUCAGGCAAAGUCCGGUUGAGUUGCUCAGGUGGUAUUUAUUGUGCCAAGACCACAGUGCAAAAAUGGAUGGAGAAAAAAACAACACAAUAACAAAAAUAGUUUACAAUUAACAAUAAAAGUAUAGUCAGCAACUGAGUUCUACCUUAACUAUGUUAUUUUUUAAAGUGCAUAAAAAAAAUCUGCGCAUGCGUAUUAAUCAAAAGAAUGCGGAAGCAUGAUUGCGCAUUGAAGAAAUCUUUCAUGGCAGUAACUCUAUAUUUUUGUGUCUUCUCAUUUAAUAUAAUUUAGUAAUAUUAGUUUAGUAAUUAUAGUUGAACAUGAAACAAUCAAAUUUAUGUUUAAUUAAGUUGUGUUUUUGUUUGCUAGGAAAACAAGUUUUCCCAGCAUGCCUCGCUCCACUUGAUUUCCAACGUAUUCAUAUUAUUCCAUCACCCAAGGAAUCGUACAUGACAUGGUUUAGUUUUAUUUAGUGUUAAACAUGUAUAUUUAAAUGGCGAUGUACAAACAUUUGGAGUCACUUAGAGUCACGGUUGUACUCACGUGAGAGAGUCAAUGCCCAAUUACAUGUUCGCAUGCCUCUGAACUUCAGAGUCUGAAGUAUACGCAUGCGCAGAUGGAGGGCCGAUGGAUUCUAAUGGGGAGCAUCCAAGCCCCUUAAUUCCCCCUCGAAACAAAAACUCGUAAUUACUACAAAACAUAGUUUUCCUCAUGUAAACAGGCAUAAUGGCCUAAUAAUAUUGAACUCGUAAAUGAUAAAUGCAGACAAUACAGACGUCUUGGCGUCUUUGGAUAUUUGUGUGACACUUGGGUCACAUGAUCCCCGCUGCGCGCGAAGACGACACAUUUAAACUACCCGGAAGUACUGGCGCAGUUUGGCCGGAGACAACUCGGGAGAACAUAACACUAAAGGUAAACAGAGAUUUGAUUGGCAGCUGCCUUGUCGUUGGCCUGCACAGAUGAUGUCAAUCACUAAUCAAACUUGACCGGAAACAAAGCAGCCACCUUUUAGUAGGAUUCUCCAGGCUCCAUAAUGGACGUUCACCAGUCACAUGUUUCAAACCUGGCGACCAUCCAGGAAGAAUCUGAAUGGGAGGAAACGGCUGAAAGCGACCAAAUUCCAGAAGAAAGUGAAGAAAGAGAGAUGUCAGGCGGUGAGAGGGAGGAAGACGUUGAAGGUGACGUUCCGCCGAAGGUCCGAAGGCUCAGUCGACUGUCCCUGGACAGCUCGCAAAAUGUUCAAUGUGGCAAGAGUCAUCUAGAACACACAUCUCUUCACGACUUUGAACUUGAUGACAACAGACGAGCAAGUUUGAGCAGCACAAAAGCAAGUACUCGCGCACGGAAACGUCGCAAGGAGAACGUCAGAACAUCACGGAGGAAGAAGACAAUGACCUUUGAUGAGUGGCUGUGUGACCUGAUGGUCAACAUAGAGGAGGCCACAACUCAUCAGCUGGUGAUUGAGUGACGUGAGCAACCUUUUCCCAAUCUCUUUUCUUCAUCUCCUUUAAAUAUCAAUGUCGAUGUGAAAUAUUUUAGGCCUUAAGACUCUGAUCUAAAAAUCAAUUCUAUCACAAUAAAUUUGGCCCCCACGUCUUACGUCUCUUGUCAGAUGACCUUUUAGUUUCUGUUCUUAUGAACUCUGUCUUCUGGCGCUGAGACUCUUGAUGCAUGAUUGGACAACAUAGAAAGGACCAACACCGAUUUGUCAUUUUGCCACUAUAAAUGUUCUAAAUAUUUAUUUUUGAUCUAUUCUACUAUUGUAAAGCAUAGUGGGUUUUUUUUUUGGCAACCAACUUUUUUAUGUUUGAAUCUAUAAAGCAAUAAUAUAUACAAAUGUUAAUUUGAUUUUGUAAAAAAAAAAAACAAAGGCUGAAAUUGAAUGCAAAGUAACUAUUAAAUGAUUAUUUGUGAUCUGCUUGAAUGAUUUAUGAGGAAUAACUGCAGUUAUCUGGCCAAACUGCGUAGGUUUAGUCUGUAUGACAGUGUUAAUGACACCAACUUUCUAUUUUAUAACCGAAGUAUGUUCAGUUUUAUUUUUUUGUCAUUACUUUUGUACCUGUUUAACAUGCGAGCAGUGGUGAUUGUAGCAUUAAUGACCACCUUGGCAAGGCCCCUUUCUGCGUUUGAAUGCAUAAUAAACACCAAAUAGACAAAGACAAACUGCUCUUCUUUAU